CGGAAGCGAAUGGAUUAAGAGCUUGCUCUUAUGAAGUUAGCGGCGGACGGGUGAGUAACACGUGGGUAACCUGCCCAUAAGACUGGGAUAACUCCGGGAAACCGGGGCUAAUACCGGAUAACAUUUUGAACCGCAUGGUUCGAAAUUGAAAGGCGGCUUCGGCUGUCACUUAUGGAUGGACCCGCGUCGCAUUAGCUAGUUGGUGAGGUAACGGCUCACCAAGGCAACGAUGCGUAGCCGACCUGAGAGGGUGAUCGGCCACACUGGGACUGAGACACGGCCCAGACUCCUACGGGAGGCAGCAGUAGGGAAUCUUCCGCAAUGGACGAAAGUCUGACGGAGCAACGCCGCGUGAGUGAUGAAGGCUUUCGGGUCGUAAAACUCUGUUGUUAGGGAAGAACAAGUGCUAGUUGAAUAAGCUGGCACCUUGACGGUACCUAACCAGAAAGCCACGGCUAACUACGUGCCAGCAGCCGCGGUAAUACGUAGGUGGCAAGCGUUAUCCGGAAUUAUUGGGCGUAAAGCGCGCGCAGGUGGUUUCUUAAGUCUGAUGUGAAAGCCCACGGCUCAACCGUGGAGGGUCAUUGGAAACUGGGAGACUUGAGUGCAGAAGAGGAAAGUGGAAUUCCAUGUGUAGCGGUGAAAUGCGUAGAGAUAUGGAGGAACACCAGUGGCGAAGGCGACUUUCUGGUCUGUAACUGACACUGAGGCGCGAAAGCGUGGGGAGCACACAGGAUUAGAUACACUGGUAGUCCACGCCGUAAACGAUGAGUGCUACCUGUGAGAGGGUUUCCUCCCUCUAGUGCUGGAGUUAACUCAGUAAACACUCCGCCCGCGGGGGAGAGCCGCGCGGCUGAGACUCAACUGAAAGGAAAUCGCGCGCGGCCCGCCACACGCAGCAAGAGGUGGGGGUUAAAUUCGCACCCACGAACAAUAACCUGUCCGGGGUUGAGACUUCCUCCGCACACCUUAGAGAUAGGGCUUCCGCAUCGGGAACAAAUUGACGCGUGGUGCUGGCUGUCCUCAACCUGUGUCAUGGAAGAUUGGGUUAUUCCCCGCAACGAGCGCCAGCCUUUGAUCUUAAUUUGCUUUCUUUUAGGAGGCACCUCCCGGGG
rnacentral:rRNA from 1 species